GCGAACCAGAAAGUUCUGCUCCUCCUUGUCUACCGUGCACGCUAUCCAUAAUGACAUCUCACGAAUCAUAUCGUGCAUCUUUACAUGAUCAUCGCCUUCUUCCUCCAAUAAGCAUGCAUGAAGAAGGUCAUCAAUAAAAUCGCAUCCACCAUCAAAAUCAUAUACAAAUCCUUCACUAAUCCAAUAAUCAAUCAAAUCCCUUUUAGGAAUUUCGUAGUCUUCAGGAUAUAAACAACAAUACAGGAGACAGGAACGAAGUUCGUCCGUAGACAAACUAUCAUAGCUGAACUUUAAACGCGAAAACACCUCUUCUUUCAUACCUGAGAAUUUAGAAGCUGAUGUUCUCAUUUUGUGAAUUGCACGUUUCCAAUCUCCAACUUUCCUUUGGCUUUUCAUGGCUCGACCCACUGUUUUAAGCGCUAGCGGCAACCCACCACACUCUCUUGCCAAGGUUUCGGCUAGCUCUGGAAUACCGGUAUGACUGUCCAGAGUGGAUCUGUCGACCAUCUCCUGAAAUAAUUCCCAGGCUUUAUCAUGCGCCAAACUAUACACUUCCACCUUUUCAGCGUCCAUUUGAUCGCAAACACCAGCUGAACGAGUUGUCAAGACUACUUUGGACCCAUCAUUUAGUUUUUGAAGAGGGACACCCAAUUCUGUUAAAUGAAUGGGUUUCCAUAUAUCAUCCAAUAACAACACAAACUUCCUUCUGCUUAAAAUGCUAGCGAUGUCCACAGCCUUGUCUUGAGGACUUUUUUUCGCCCAGCUUUGGUCUUCUGAAAAGCCAAUCCUUUUUCCAAUGUCAUCUUGAAGUGUUGACGCAGCCGCCCAGAUAACAACAUCAAAAUUAUGCUGUUGAUGGCAGAAGUUGUUGUUGACUUGUUUUAAAAGGGUAGUUUUGCCGACUCCCCCUAUACCAUACAAGCCGAUAAUUCCCCUGUUAUUUUCCUCAUCAGUGAUACAUCUCCAAACUCGAUCAAGUAAUAAUUCUUGACCAACAACUGUGUGCUCAACAGGUAAUUCAAUUGCUGCACCAUCCGGCGCCUUCUCAACAACCACUUCAAUUUUUUCUCCGUCUUUCUUUAAAUUGAUCACUCGAUCCGUCAACUCGACCACCUGAGUCCCGUAAUUGUAGCUUGAAACGAAGUUUUUGGAACAGAGGCCUCCAAGGCACAAUCUAUCGAUUUCAUGAGCUCUAACUCGUUCCAGCUCGGUAAAUUCAGUUUCCAGUUUUUGCACAUCUUCAAGCCACCCUGCGACCUGGUUCGUUCGUCUGGUUCGAGGUCGUUGUUCUUCGACCUCAACCUUGGUCUUCAGAUCGUCCCUUGCUCGAGUCAAUUUGUGCAAUUCAGUCUCCAAGACCCGAAGGUUUUUUUCGAGACCCCAUACAUAAUUUGCUUGUUCACCAACGCAGUUUGAAGUUCGAUCAAAUAAGUCUGCUGGUAAGAAGGUUGAGAUUAGGUUACCCAUUGUCGUUGACGAAAAGAGGAAGAGAAGCAACGAGUACAAUGAAAAGAAUUAAGCUAAUUUUUACUUAAAUUCUUAAGAAUUGCUGUCAAAUGCAAACAGAGUAUGAGAAUCAGGUCUUUAUUGAUUAUGAUGACUUGAAUGAAAAUGAAAUACAGAGCUUUGCUAGUUUACAUACAGAGACAAAAAAUAAUGACAGCUAGCCUAAGGGGUAUUACACGGAAGUAAUCAAAAUUGAUCCGUGAAUAUAGCAAUUGUGAACCAAUCACAUUAAGCUUCUAGAAGAUGCAACUAUUCAAUGCACAUGCGCUGCUAUUCUUCAACAUAACAGUUUUGCCAGCUCAACAAAUCCAACUCACAGAAUCAAGGUCAACCGUUGACUCUUCACAGCUGCUGCUUUCAACAAUUUUUAGAGAACCACAACACCAAAAUAAAAAUAUGAUACAUUUGUUGCUUUAUUCAUUAUGUCAAAUAUCAAGAAUAUAAUGAUACGUUUGCACGUCAUAUAAAAUUUGUAUUUCAACCAAGUAAUCACAUAGUUAAUAUUAAAUCUUAUCAUUUGUUAUCUAAGUGAUAAAUUUAUAUUGACAAUAUAUUAUUUAGAAUAAAAAUUUUCUACCUUAGGUUUGGAUGAAGAUCCAAAAUAUUAAGUCAAUGAUAGAUAGAUAAAAAAUAAAAUAAAAUAAAUUUUAACAUUAAUUUUUUAUUUAAUAAAAAGUAAAUUCAAUACAGAAUUCUAAUCCCUUAAUCUCUCUCCAUCCACGGCAAAAGAAAGCAGCAACUCAACUCUCUUUAAAGGCUAUGGAGGUUCUCUUGCGACCUCUCUUCAGCAUACCCUCCAGAACAUUAACCCCACCACCGCCAUCACCACCCUGUUAAACACGUUUUCAAAACGUGUAUAAUGUGGCCAUCUAAUUUAUUUUUAAUUAUUAGUUUUCUAAUUUAAAUUGAUAUUUAUCUUUAUUUAGUUUACUUUUAAAACGUUGGGUUUGGUUUAAAAUUUGAAUAAAGAUAAAACAUCUCUUCCUAAUAUCUCUCAUACACGUUACGGGUGGUUUACUAAAAUCAAGGGGAUAACGGCUCAUAACUUCCUCUUUUAUUUAAACUUGUCAUCUUGAUGGGAGAUGUUUUACGGUCACGUUUUUUCAAGAAAAAUAUUGAGGGUCCCUGGUCUAACAACAGAGCCUGUGUAUACCAUCUACUCUCAGGAAUUAAGUGUUGGAUAGACUAGAAAAUUCUGAGUACAAAGCAUGGCUUGUUUUCGUUGGUUUUGUUUGCAUUCCAGUAGAAAGGUUGUGUACAAUUGAAUUUGAUAACUAUGGCAGGAGGUAAGUUUUCUAACUUGUGCAUGAUGAAUAUAGUCUUUUACACCCCACCAAUCAUCUCACUCUCAAAACUCUCCAUUUUUGCCUCCAUUAAUUCCCACUCUCUCCAAAACCCUGAUUUCUUCCUCUUCUCGUUUCCUCUCGCCCGCCCCUGGUACGCCAAUUUCCAUUCUCUCGCUCUUUUUUUUGGCAAUUUUGGCUUGAGUUUUUUGGGUUUUUGGUAAUUUAUCUUUAAUUUUUGUGGGUAUCCUUCGUUUUUUUAGUUAUCAUACAUGAGUUGAGUAGUCGUAGACGAUUUUUUAUUGUUUUAAACUGAACGGAUUCUUUGUAUUUCGAAAAUGAAAUUCAUUGUUUGUGAAGUAACUUUUAAAGCUGUUGAGUUGAGUUUGAAAACUUAAUGUGCUUAAAUUUAUCUAUGUGGAUUUGAAUCAGUUAGACAAGCAGCACAGGAGAGCCAAUCGAGCGCGGAGGUGAAUGCCGAUAGAAGAGAAUGGUUUAUGCAAGGUACAUUAAUAGUAAUUUGAUCUGAUGCCAAUUUUAUUUCUAUAUUAAUUUAUUAGAUUAUGUAAUGUUAUAAAUUCUUUGUUCAAAAUGUAGAGCUUGGAAAUUUAGUCGGUACAUUAUGGUAAUGAAUGUAGCUUGUGUAUCUGUUCAAAUUUAUGUCUAGCUUUGCUGUUUUGGUAAUGGUUUGUUUAGUAUAAAUUUUGUGUUGGUUAUGAUGUUGUUUAGUGGUUUGGAUCACUCGUGCUCUUUUGGCCCCCACUAAAAUUAAUUUUUCAUCAAAGGAUAUGAAUAGUUGUUCGAUGGAAACUUAAUGGAAGAUGUGGGAGCAUCUUUAUGAGUUAAGAUUCCCUGUAGCGAGUAUAUCCUUUGGUGCAUGAGAGUUUAAGUGAUUAUCGUCAUUGUUGAGUUAAACAAUGGGAUUAAUUUUCAUGUUCAUGUAAGGUGAUCAUCGCUAAAGUUAGAGCCAUUAGGUGAUAAAUUGAUACUUCAUUGUGUUGUUAUGUUUGUUAUACUGGAUAAAAAUCCCAGUGAUAGAAUUCAUGUUAGGCGGUUUUGGGUCCUAUUCAAUCCCAAAAGAUGAAUAAGGGGUGAGGCUUUCCCUCACAAUUGUAAAAUCACCACCAUCCUAGUUCACAACCGAUAUAAGACAACCCAACAAUCUCUCCCGCACAUAUUGGGCCUUGGUUCAAAAGCAUGGACACUCGUUUUCACUAGUAGGCUGUUGGACUGAGAUGUUGGUGAAUCUUUUAGUUGAUUUUUUUUUUUUUAUAAAAAGGAAAAGAUUAUGAAGAGAUAAAUACAAUAAAGAAAAAAAGAGAUCAAUAUUGCAAUAAAACAUUUAUGUAGUGAUAUUUUAUAUAAGAAUAAUUUCAUAUAGCUAUAAAAGUAAUGGUCCUAAUUUAUAUUAGGCCAAUUAUAAAUAAGAAUAAAUUUCAUGCUGUAAUAAUUUAUAAUUUUGCUAAAUCUCACCUUAAGGAGCUCACCUCCACGUAGUGUAAAUAUAUAUAUAGAAAAAAAAAAUAUGUUAUAUUACAUUAAGUGAACUUGGGGGUUGUUUGGUACCCCUCUUUACCUGGGAUUGCAUUGUGUUAGCAAUGCAACCCCAUGUUUGGGGUACCAAAUGGCUAUAUUAGCUAAACUCGACAUAUAGUCGGGUUUAGCUAAUGCGUCCAGUUACCGCAUUAGCUUUAGCUUCCUCUUUUUUUUUUUUUUUAUACUUUGUAAUAAUGAUAAAUGAAUAUAAUUUUUAAUUUAAUAUUAUAUAAUAUUAUUUUUACUUUAUAAUUUUAAUAUAAAUUAAUAAAUUUAUUGUUUAAUAAUAUUAUAUUAUAUUUUAAUUUUUAUCAUAGUAAAUGUACAACUAAAAAAUGUAUUAUUUAAUUAUAUUACAUUAAUUAAUAUGUAAAAUUAUAUUAAUUAAUAUAUAUAAUUGAUUAAUUUUUAAUAAGUUAAUAUAACUAAUAAUAAAUACUUAAAUAAUAUAAUAUAAUAUAAUAUUAUUUAAUUUAUUAAAAUAAUUAAACUAGUUAUUUUUAAAUAAUUUAAUAUAACUAAUAAUAAAUAUUUAAAUAUGAAUAAAUUUGAAUAAUAUUAAUUAAAAAUUAAUAAAAUAUAUAAUUAUUAGAUUGUUUAGCACAAUUCAUUUUUUAGCACAAUUCAUUAGUAUUUUCUAAAUAUAUAAUUUAAAUUAGUCACAAAAAAUUAAUACAAUAUAGUGCAAUAUCAAAUAUAAUAUAAUUAAAAAUUAAAUAUAAUACAGUAUAGUACCAAACAUUAUACAACAUUAUUAUAAUACAUUACUAAUACAACACAACAUAAUGCAAUACACCUGCAUUAAAAUAAUGCAAUACAAUAUAAUAUAAUACAGCGUGCCAAACGCACUCUUGUAUCCAUAUAGUACAAAAACAACAUAAGAGAAAAAUGUUAAAGAGAACACAAAAGUUCAGAGACUUUUAAGAUAAUGUUUUAUAUUUGUAACAAGCAUGUGCUAACUUUUUUGAAACCAUGUAUAUUUAUUUUUUCCCUAAGUUACAUGCAUGUAACUUAGCAUUAGCCUCAUUUUAUUAUUAUCUAUACAUUGGAUUUGACAUGUUUCAUUAAUAAUUUAUUACUACAUCUCUAUUAAAAUAAUUGAGGUCCUGCACUUUCAUUGGAAGAUAGGAGAAAAAAAUAAUUGAUAAGAGAAGAAAACAAUUUAAAAUAAAAUUUUAAAAUAUUUAUCAUUACUUAAAAAAAUUAAUUUUCUUUUCCUAAAGUUAUUCCACAGACGGUAGUACAAAAUUAUGUGAUCACGCACGCACACAGUGAUAGGGUAAUUAUUGAAACAAAAAUGAAAUUUGUCUGUUUUCCAUUUGAAAUCUAUUACUAAUAUAAAGGAAAAGAAAAAUCUUUAAUUACUUUUUUUUUUUUUCAUGUAGGGCAAGGCAAACAUCACUAUCUUGUUAAAUUAAUAUUUAAAAUUAUCCCACCAAAUGUAAUUAUAACAAAUUAAAUAAAUAUUUACUAUGAGUUCAGCAUCUGGGUUCCCACUCCAUAAAUAUGCCAGCAUUUUAAAACAAACAAGACUUAGAGUGUGUUUGGGAUUGAGGUGCUGUAGCUUUUAAGCUACAGCUGCUGUGAAAAAAAAACUGUAAUUAUGAAACAAAAUUUAAUAAUAUAUAGUAAAUAUAAAUUUUAAAUAAUAAUUUUGAUAAAAAUAUUAAAGAUAUAAUAAAUUUUAUAUUAUACAAGUGAAAAAUCAUAUUAACAUAGCUUAAAAGCUACAGCAGCUAGUGUUUACCAAACACUACAGCUGCCCAACCUCAAUCCCAAACGCACUCUUAAGCGACAAAUACAAUUUUGUCAAUGAGUAUAAAGGUCGCAUUAUAAGCCAAAGGAGAGCAGUUAAGGGAAGAUAAAAUAUUAUUGUAUUGAACUGGUUAUUUCUCUCUAGGGGUGGCAAAAAAGUCUGGGCUGGUCUAGGCCCGCGGGCCUAAAGCCCGGCCCGUAAGGGUGGGCCCAGAUAUUGGCCUAAAAAUUACAAAGCCCACAUAUGUGGGAUCUGGACAAGGGCUUAGCAAAAAAGCCCGGACUUGGCCCAGGCUUUUUAAAUUUAUGAAUAAAAAAUAAAUUUAAUUUAAAUAAAAAAAGAAAAAACUCAAAAUAUUAAAUUAGUUUAAUUUUUUAUAUUAGUAUUUGUUAUUUUAUUAGGUUGUAUUAUUAAUAUUUUAUGUAUUGGACUAUUAUUCUAUUUUAUAUAUUAGAUGAUUAUCUUUAAUUUAAAUUUUUUCUUAAUUUAAAAAAUAUUUUAUAAUUAAUUUAAAAAGCCCAAGCCCGGCCCAGGCCCGGCCCGAGUUCGGUCCGUCCAAAUUUAAACGGGUUUUUGAAGGGCCUGGACUUCGUUUGAAUGAUGUGGGCUUGGGCCUGGGCUUUGAAAAGCCCGGCCCAAACCCGCAAAUUGCCAUCCCUAUUUCUCUCUCUUCUAUUAUUAAUUUGUUGUUAAUUAUAACCUUUGCGGGAUUUAAAAAAAAGAAAAAGGCCCUUGCGUUUUCAUCAACAUUACACUGCCAAAUGUGAAAUGGAUUGAGAACCACAUGUCCUUAUUAUGCUGCCACUCCACAAAUGUUUAUUUUCCCCUCAUUCUCCUUAGAAGCCAGAGGCAGAGUCAGUCCUGCACCCCUUUACGUAUGCCUUCUCCAUAAAUUAACAUAAACGAUUAGUAUUAGAGCUGGCAAAAUGGGUCAUCGGGUCGUGUUUGUAUUGUGUCAGCUUCGUGUCGUGUCAAAUUUAGGUCGACCCAUACUCGACCCAUUUAAUAAUCGUGUCAAAAUAUUGAGACACAAACCCGACACGGAAAAAUAAUCAGGUUAUCCAAUAACCCGCUAUCUAUAUAUUAAACAAAAGUUACAUCAAAUAUUUACACAUUUUCAUACAUACGUAUGCGCAUACAUACAUACAUAAUUUAUUGAUAUUAUAAAAUAUACAUAUCUACUAAAAUAUUAGACACACUAUUGAGGUUUUAAUUAUAUAUGUGUAAAUAAUAUUAUAUAUCAAUAUUAUAAAAUAUAUAUGUCUACGAAUAUUUUAUACAUUUAUACUAGCUCUAAAUGUAUUUAAAAAUUCAUAAAUAAAAUAUUAUGUCUAUAUUCAUCCUUUUAAAGAAUUAAAAAAAAUCAUCUCUAAUAUUUGAGUUUUGGUGACAAGAAUUUACAAAUUAUUUUAAAAUAGAAAAUAUAAUCGGGUCAUUGAUCGGGUAAAUGGGUCAAGAAUUUUAACUCUAACCCGACACGAAAAAAAAUCGUGUUGACCCGGACCCGACCCAUUUAAUAAUCGUGUUAAAUUCAACGACUCAUACCCAUUUAUUAGUGUUGUGUUCGUAUUGGGUAAUCGGGCCGUGUCAAAUUUUGCCAUAUCUAAUUAGUAUAAGAUGAUUUAACCACACAAUAUGUCAAAUUUACAUUUUGCAAUCAUUGAUACUUGGUGCUACAGUCAAAUUUAUAUUUAUUCAAGGUAGCGGGUUCAAUAAUUAAAUUCACAUAAAAAGAAAGAUGCAUUCACCCUUAAUGGCCCAGGAGCCAACCAAAUUCCGCGUCCGCGAAGUGAGGCACUUUUCUUAAAGUUAUUUCACAGACGGAAGAACAAAAUUCUGUGAUCACGCACAAAGUGAUAGGGCAAUUAUUGAAACAUAAAUAAUGUCUAUUUCCCAUCCGAAAUCUGUUCUAAUAUAAAGGACAAGAAAAAGUUUUAAUUAUUAUUAUUAUUAUUUUUCACGUAGGGCAAGGCAAACAUCACUAUCUUGUUAAAUUAACAUUUAACAUUGUCCCACCAAAUAUAAUUAUAACCAAUUAAAUAAAUAUUUACUAUGAGUUCAGCAUCUGAGUUCCCACUCCAUAAAUAUGCCAGUAUUUUAAAACAAACAAGACUUAAGCGACAAAUACAAUUUUGUCACCGAGUGUAAAGGUCGCAUUUUAAGCCAAAGGAGAGCAGUUAAAAGGAAGAUAAAAUAUUACCGUAUUUCUCUCUCUUCUAUUAUUAGUUUGUUGUUAAUUAUAACCCUUUUCGGGAUUAAAAAAAGAAAAGAAAAAGGCCUUUGCGUUUUCUAUUAGCAUGUGUACAUGUUUAUUUUCUGUGUUAGUAGUGCAGAGUAUAUACUGAACACACUGGACAAAAAGGGUAAUUUGUAAUCAAUUUAGUUUUAUAAACAUUAAUCUCGGAAGUAGUUACUGAACUUCAUGUGGAAAAAAAAAUAAAAAAAGAUAGUCGCUGAGCAAUAAAUCUACAAGUCAUCAAAAUCGAGCAAUUCUAUGGCAAGAAUUCUUUCCAGUGGGAGGAUUCUAAAACCAAGAAUCCACUGCUGAAAUUUUAUUCACUGAAAAUAGGGAACGAUUGACACACCAGACAACAAGAACAAGAUGCAAUUAAAUCUAAUGAAAAUUAAAAAAAGAAAAAAGAAAUACAUAUUCAAACAUAUUAAUGAAAAUCAUCCCCAAGUACGACACCGGAAGAGAAAGCAUUUUGGGUGGCUUGAUCCUCCCAUUGUAGCUCUUCCCACCAUUCUUUCUCUCCCUCGAUGACAACUCGACGUUCCUUCACGCUGCUGGAAUUGACUGGGAGCUUCUUCAGCUGUGGGCAUCCACGUACUUGAAUUUUCUUCAGCUUUGGAAGGGGCAGGGGAUUCGGGUAAACGCUCUUUAAAUUUCUUCCCCACUUUAUGGUUAGAGAUUCGAGUUGUGCAAAAAAGUUAUGCUCUGACCCGAUUAUCUCCGAAAUAUCUCUCAAUUUAUCAACACUAAUUAUUUCUUCCAUUUCUGUACAAAAGACUAUACGCAGCUGCUUGAGAAUUUGAACAAAAACUAGCCACGUUAAGUCUUUCAUUUUUUUGCAACUGCUUAUGACAACUCUGUCGAGACUGCGGAAACCACUUUGAAAAAGCUUCUUCACCUCUUCUGUGCUGUCAAUCUUCAUCUCUUCCAAGUUAAUGUCUUCAAGAUCUAACUCCUGAAGAUUCUCCAUGUAUGCGAGAUGUAAGAGAUUGAACGGUGCACUUUUACAAUGGUAAACCAAUACAAAUUGAGUGAUGCUCACCAGCUUUGGAUAUUUCAAAAACUUUUGGACAGCAAGUGAACUUCCGAAGGACCAGCUUAAAACAUUUAAAUGCUUCAAACCCAGCAAUUCCUUCAUCAAAGGUUCAGCACCAUCACAUAGAACGUUACCUUCUUUCCCUUUUAUUACCGAAAGCGACCGCACCCACGCAACCUGAGUACCUCCAACUUUGAAAAGCCAGAUAUCAAUUCAUGUGGAAUUAUAGACAAAUGAAAUGCAUAGUCCAAGUUCAAAUAUCUCAGCUUCUCCAAUGCCUUCAGCUCUUGCGGCAACCCAGUUAUGUCAGUCGAUGAAAGAUCAAGAUGAUGUAAUGAAACCAAACUUGAAAUCCCUGAAGGUAGUUUACUUAGGGAAAGAUUUAUUCGUAGACUUAAUACUCUAAGAGAAGACAUCGAUUGAAAGAAGCCAUCAGUAAUCUCCUCAAUCCAAUUUCCAUCCAGAAGUAAAGUGACGAGACGUGGACACGUGGGAAUUUCCGAUAGGCUUUGAAUUCUAGUUUUCAUCAGAGAUAUCCGUUUGGCACCUUCCCAUUCUUCAACCUUUGGUGCUUCGGUCAGUUUAACUCCAGCGUGAACCAGAAAGUUCUGCUCCUCCUUGUCUACCGUGCACGCUAUCCAUAAUGACAUCUCACGAAUCAUAUCGUGCAUCUUUACAUGAUCAUCGCCUUCUUCCUCCAAUAAGCAUGCUUGAAGAAGGUCAUCAAUAAAAUCGCAUCCAUCAUCAAAAUCACACACAAAUCCUUCACUAAUCCAGUAAUCAAUCAAUUCCCUUCUAGGAAUUUCGUAGUCUUCAGGGUACAAACAACAAUACAGGAGACAGGAACGAAGUUCGUCCGUAGACAAACUAUCAUAGCUGAACUUUAAACGCGAAAACACCUCUUCUUUCAUACCUGAGCAUUUAGAAGCUGAUGUUCUCAUUUUGUGAAUUGCACGUUUCCAAUCUCCAACUUUCCUUUGGCUUUUCAUCGCUCGACCCACUGUUUUAAGCGCUAGCGGCAACCCACCACACUCUCUUGCCAAG
rnacentral:lncRNA from 1 species